GGAUGAUUCACUUGAGGACGUGAACCAUCUUUGUACUCAAAGGAAAAGAAAAUAACAAUUAUUCCCUUAGCAGUGGCGAACGAGUAGGGAUAAGAAACGUUAGACGUUUAGUUUAAAUCAAGUAAAUAUAAGCAACCGGCUUAUAUUGAAAAACCAAGAGUUUCCUUGUAAAAAUAAAUACU
rnacentral:ncRNA from 1 species